CAAUAGCGUAUAUUAAAGUUGUUGCGGUUAAAAAGCUCGUAGUUGGAUUUCUGUCGAGGACGACCGGUCCGCCCUCCGGGUGAGUAUCUGGCUUGGCCUGGGCAUCUUCUUGGAGAACGUGUCUGCACUUGACUGUGUGGUGCGGUAUCCAGGACUUUUACUUUGAGGAAAUUAGAGUGUUUCAAGCAGGCAUGCGCCUUGAAUACAUUAGCAUGGAAUAAUAAGAUAGGACCUCGGUUCUAUUUUGUUGGUUUCUAGAGCUGAGGUAAUGAUUAAUAGGGAUAGUUGGGGGCAUUCGUAUUUAACUGUCAGAGGUGAAAUCCUUGGAUUUGUUAAAGACGGACUACUGCGAAAGCAUUUGCCAAGGAUGUUUUCAUUGA
rnacentral:rRNA from 1 species